rnacentral:rRNA from 1 species
AUGGACCUCGCGACGGGUGCCAUGAGCGCCCUGCUCCCCAAGCUGGUCCAGCUCCUAAAGAAGGAGUACAAACUGCAGGCAGGGGUGAGGAAAGACGUCGAGUUUCUCGAAAAGGAGAUGAGGAGCAUAGACGCAGCCCUCCGUAAGGUGGCGAGGGUGCGACGUGACCAGCUUGAAGAGCAGGUCAACAUCUGGGCAGACGAUGUCAAGGAAUUAUCAUAUGAGAUGGAAGACGUCGUUGAUAGGUUCUUCGUUCACAUGGAGGCAUCUGAGACAGCUCCGGAUCCAGAUAUCUUCAGAGGGUUCGUGAAUAGGGUGGUAAGUUUGUUUAGGAAGCGCAAGACCCACCAACACGUUGCUGAUGCAAUCAAAGACAUUAAGGAACAGGUCCAUGAGGUGGCCUCCCGGCGUGACAGGUACAAGGUUGAUGAUAUUGUUGGUAUUCAAGUUUCCGCAAACAUAAUUGAUCCUCGCAUGCUAGCUCUAUUCAAAGAUAAGAGAGAGAUCGUUGGUAUCAAGGAUGCAAGAGACGAUCUUAUAAAGAGGCUUACAGAUGGUGAUGACGGUAUUUCCAACACCGAGCAGCCGCUCAGGAUGCUCUCCAUCUUUGGAUUUGGUGGACUCGGCAAGACAACUCUUGCCAAAGCAGUGUAUGACAAGCUACAUGGAUUUGAUCUUAGGGCUUUUGUCCCUGUGGGUCAAAAUCCUGAUGUGAAGAAAGUAUUGAUGGAUAUUCUACUUCAACUUGGUGAGAGCUCUGGUUCGAACAUAACAAUGAUGGAUGAGUGGCAGCUCAUCUGGAAACUUCGAGCAUUGCUUGACAACAGGAGGUACGUAGAUCGCAUGCAAGUAUCAUAA